UUUUUAUGUUAUAGUUAUGUUACUUCUGUACAUCAUCCAGUGUUUAUUGUAUCCUAAAUUUACAAUAAACACUGGAUGGUGUACAGAAGUAACAUAACUAUGACAUGACAU
rnacentral:miRNA from 1 species